rnacentral:lncRNA from 1 species
UUUGAAGAGAGCAAAAUUGAGUAAAUCAGAGUACCAUGAGAUAAACGAUAUUCAAGCAACAUAACAUACAAACGGCAAAAUUUUACAUCUGAUAUCCAGCAUCCGGUUCCAAAAACUCUUAGAGCAGGAAUGGAAUUUUGGCACAUCAAGUGACCCAGAUUACUGAUUUUAUAUUAUGGAUGUCUAAAACCUGAGCAAAAAGUUUAUUCCCGGACUUUGUAGGUCCAAAAGGAUAGAAGUACCACAACGACUGUCCCAUACCCAAUAUAGAAAUAUCUUCAUCUUUUAUUCAUGUAACGAAUAUGAGAGGGUGUUAACUUUGGUCCUCUUCCCUCCCUCUGUUUUCUCUGUAUGAAGAAAAAGAGUUCUUUUCUAUAAAGAGUCAAAUAUGUGUAGAUAACGUAUGUGAAAAUGUAAAACAUUAUAUGUUAUUUUCAUGCUCACUCUUGAGACAGGUGUUGUUUUCCAUGCUUUAAUCAGAGGAAAAUGCUGCUCAGUUAAGAAUCUUUUUUAAGUUUACAUAGUGGAAAAGUUUGGAUUUGAAAUCAUUUAUUUUGCAUAUCACAUUGCUUCCUAAAUGACAGAAAAUGAUUACAUAAUUUGUCUACUUAGCUCCUUGUAGAGACACAUAUGUUGUGAGAGUAUGCUAUGCU